GACGAACGCUGGCGGCGUGCCUAAUACAUGCAAGUUGAGCGCUGAAGGUUGGUACUUGUACCAACUGGAUGAGCAGCGAACGGGUGAGUAACGCGUGGGGAAUCUGCCUUUGAGCGGGGGACAACAUUUGGAAACGAAUGCUAAUACCGCAUAAAAACUUUAAACACAAGUUUUAAGUUUGAAAGAUGCAAUUGCAUCACUCAAAGAUGAUCCCGCGUUGUAUUAGCUAGUUGGUGAGGUAAAGGCUCACCAAGGCGAUGAUACAUAGCCGACCUGAGAGGGUGAUCGGCCACAUUGGGACUGGGACACGGCCCAAACUCCUACGGGAGGCAGCAGUAGGGAAUCUUCGGCAAUGGACGGAAGUCUGACCGAGCAACGCCGCGUGGGUGAAGAAGGGUUUCGGAUCGUAAAACUCUGUUGGUAGAGAAGAACGUUGGUGAGAGUGGAAAGCUCAUCAAGUGACGGUAACUACCCAGAAAGGGACGGCUAACUACGUG
rnacentral:rRNA from 1 species